UGGGGAAUUUUGCACAAUGGGGGGAACCUUGAUGCAGCGACGCCGCGUGAGGGAUGGAGGCCUUCGGGUUGUGAACCUCUUUCGCUCGUGUGCAAGCCGCUAUUUGGGUAGUGGUGAGUGUAGCGGGUAAAGAAGCUCCGGCUAAAUACGUGCCAGCAGCCGCGGUAAUACGUAUGGAGCGAGCGUUGUCCGGAAUUAUUGGGCGUAAAGGGUGCGCAGGCGGCUUUACAAGUUGGAUGUGAAAUAUUGUGGCUCAACCACAAACGUGCAUCCAAAACUGCAAAGCUUGAGUUAAGGAGAGGUAAGUGGAAUUCCUGGUGUAGCGGUGGAAUGCGUAGAUAUCAGGAGGAAUACCGGUGGCGAAGGCGACUUACUGGACUUAAACUGACGCUCAGGCACGAAAGCGUGGGGAGCAAACAGG
rnacentral:rRNA from 1 species